UACGGGGGGGGCAAGCGUUGUUCGGAAUUACUGGGCGUAAAGGGCUCGUAGGCGGCCAACUAAGUCAGACGUGAAAUCCCUCGGCUUAACCGGGGAACUGCAUCUGAUACUGGAUGGCUUGAGUUCGGGAGAGGGAUGCGGAAUUCCAGGUGUAGCGGUGAAAUUCGUAGAUAUCGGGAGGAACACCAGUAGCGAAGGCGGCACUCUGGGCCGGUACUGACGCUGAGGAGCGAAAGCGUGGGAGCAACACGG
rnacentral:rRNA from 1 species